GGGCCCAUAGCUCAGUUGGUCAGAGCGGCGGGCUCAUAACCUGCUGGUCCCAGGUUCAAAUCCUGGUGGGCCCACCA
rnacentral:tRNA from 1 species